CCCGGCUAAUUUUUGUAUUUUUAGUAGAGACGGGGUUUCACUAUCUUGGCCAGGCUGGUCUUGAACUCUUGACCUCAGGUAAUCCACCCACCUCAGUCUCCCAAAGUGCUAGGAUUACAGGCGUGAGCCACAUUGCCCUGCCCUAAUCUGACUUCUCAUCGCAUCCUGUAACCUCUGACUUUAGUGAUCUUGACUUCUGUCUGCUGCCAUGGACUUUGAACAAUUAUGACCUGGCAUCCAACCUUGCCCUCGGCAGGGCUCUGACCUGACGUGACCUUUGACCUCUCACCUCUGCAGCUACACGUUCGGCAAAGUACAGGGCAACAGCGACCUCUACUGGAAGUCGCAACGCUACCGCCUCAUCCGGGAAUUCCACUCUCGGCCUGCGCUGGCCCCGCCCCUUAUCAUCAUCUCCCACUCGCGCCUCCUGCUCAGGAAAUUGUGCCGGCGCUCCCGGAGCUCCCUGCCGCCCUCCUCGGUCAUCGGGGAUUUCCGAGUCUCCUUUUCUCCGGAAGCCGAGCGGAAGCUGCUGACUUGGGAAUCGGUGCAAAAGGAGAACUUCCUGCUGGCACGCGCUCGGGACAAGCGGGACAGCGACUCCGAGCGUCUGAAGCGCACGUCGCAGAAGGUGGACAGUGCGCUGAAACAGCUGGGACACAUCCGCGAGUACGAACAGCGCCUGAAAGUGCUGGAGCGGGAGGUCCAGCACUGUAGCCGCGUCCUGGGGUGGGUGGCCGAGGCCCUGAGCCGCUCGGCCUUGCUGCCCCCAGGAGGGCCUCCACCCCCAGAUCUGCCUGGGCCCAAAGGUCAGUGUGUAGGAUGAGCCUGUGCAUCUCCAGCCUCUGUUCCUGUAUUUUUGCGUGUUUUUCUCUCUCGGUGCCUUUCCAGUGGCCCUGGGUCACUCUCUUGGUUUCCUUUGGGCAUUUUGUCCUCCUGUCUUCGUGUUUCUUCUUUUUUUGCCAGUCUCCCAGUUUUUCUCUCCCCGCUUCCCCGCCAAUCUCCUGUUCUCUCUUCUGUCUUCCCCCUAGACUGAGCCUUGCUGGCGGACUUCAAGGAGAAGCCCGCUCUAGGGUUUUGCUCCUAGAGUAAGGCUCAUCUGGGCCUCGGCCCCCGCACCUGGUGGCCUUGUCCUUGAGGUGAGCCCCGCGCCCAUCUGGGCCGCUGUCGGGACCACCUUUGGGACUGUCAUCCGUACCAACCACAGCAUGCGGCUCCUCCCAGAACCAGCCGAAGCCUGGGAGGAGGAAGUCAUGGAGCCCCGGCUGUAGUCCAGACAGGCUGGAGGGUCCUUGGGGUAACAGGGACCACAGACCCCACUCACAGAUUCCUCACACUGGGGAAAUAAAGCCAUUUGAGAGGAAUCGUGUCCGGAGGCUUGAUUCUUGGGGGAACUGGUGGGUGUCUAGAUCCUUCCAGGAUGGCGGCUGGAGCUGGGGUGGUGGGUUUGGGGUUCUUGGUGGGUUUGCUGCUGAUAUUUUGGAGUCCCUUUCCUUCUCUCAGGCCUAGUGUUUCUGCCUGACUGAGACCCAGCACCUUCUGUCUGCAUGGUUCUGGCGGCUGUCACUUCUGUAGAACAAGACCCCAUGUGUACCCCCUCCUACCCAGUUUCAACUUUCCAGUGGAAAAAUAACUCAGUGAUCAUAAGUGAAUUAUCUCCUGGAGAGGGGCCGGGCGGGUGUUGUGUACAUCUGCUUUGGCAAUAGGGAAAUGGGUGACGCAAAUUUGGAUAAAUGCAUACGUGUCUUUAAAAAGUCUAAUUCGUGGGAAAUUGCAGGCCAGGCGCACACAGGGGUGAGGCAAAUAGGCAUGAUUAUACAUGCAGUUUAACUAAAUAACCCGUAACAAGCUAAACAGCUAAUGACAAGGCUGAACUGACAGCAAUUAUUAGUUAAAUAGCAAGAAAGCCACCAACAACCAACACAUCCAAAACUCAAACCCAAAAUAUCCUUCCUCCCAAUUGGAGGAGAGCCAAGUAUCUGUCACUGUGGGUGCAGAGUAGCUCUGAAAUAUUGCCAAGUGUGGUGCCGCGACCGAGACUUCUCUGGAAGAUGCUGUGUUAGCUCUCACCAGCCCAAGUAGCAAUAAAGUAAUACUCACCUUAAUGAGGAUGGCACAGCAGCAACUUCCUCCCUCCCUUCCUCCUUUCUUCCUCCCUCCCUUCCUCCUUUCUUCCUCCCUCCCUUCCUCCUUUCUUCCUCCCUCCCUCUUUCCUCCCUCCCUCCCUACUUCCUUCCUCCCUCCAUCCCUCCCUUCUUCCUUCCUUCCCUCCUCC
ensembl:lincRNA